CCAUAUCACUAGUUCCCCUGCGAUCACUGAAGUUAAGCAAUGUCGAGCUUGGUCAGUACCUAGAUGUGUGACCAUUUGGGAAUAGCAGAUACUGUAAG